ACGGGUGAGUAAUACAUCGGAAUGUACCUUGUAGUGGGGGAUAGCUCGGCGAAAGCCGGAUUAAUACCGCAUACGCUCUGAGGAGGAAAGCGGGGGACCUUCGGGCCUCGCGCUACAAGAGCAGCCGAUGUCAGAUUAGCUAGUUGGUGGGGUAAAAGCUCACCAAGGCGACGAUCUGUAGCUGGUCUGAGAGGACGACCAGCCACACUGGGACUGAGACACGGCCCAGACUCCUACGGGAGGCAGCAGUGGGGAAUUUUGGACAAUGGGCGAAAGCCUGAUCCAGCAAUGCCGCGUGUGUGAAGAAGGCCUUCGGGUUGUAAAGCACUUUUGUCCGGAAAGAAAUCCUCUGGGUUAAUACCUCGGGGGGAUGACGGUACCGGAAGAAUAAGCACCGGCUAACUACGUGCCAGCAGCCGCGGUAAUACGUAGGGUGCAAGCGUUAAUCGGAAUUACUGGGCGUAAAGCGUGCGCAGGCGGUUUUGUAAGACGGAUGUGAAAUCCCCGGGCUUAACCUGGGAACUGCAUUCGUGACUGCAAGGCUAGAGUAUGGCAGAGGGGGGUAGAAUUCCACGUGUAGCAGUGA
rnacentral:rRNA from 1 species